GCCAACGCCGCCGUCCCGAGCACAGGACCGAUGUGAGGCCGAAGCCAGACGGCUUGCUUCCCACGUCCGGGGCCGAGUGAAUACGUGUCAAGCCCUUUUCCUUCUCCUUCUCGGAACAGCACCUUCUUACUAAACAGAUCGGAGAUUGGACCAGGAGGGCGGGGGAGGGAGGAGGAUCAUGAGCUGGGGGGAGGGUAAACGAGUGGCGGAAACCCUUAGGCUCAGAGAAGCAUCGAGAACCGGAAGGAGACCAUGGGAGGAAGGUAAAGGAAGCAGCCGCUGCGCGAUCCAGCCCCACGCCCCUCCCCACAGCGUCCCCCAGUUUCCUCACUUGGUAUCAAGGAGACGACUCUCGCGAGAACUUCGUGGCCGGCUAACCGAAGCGGUAGCUCUGCAAUGACUUAAGAGCAGUUUUGUGCGCUUUUCUUGACGGGGUUCCGCCCCCAAAAUGCAUAAGUUCUCGCGAGACGCAGUAAGGCACCGGCUCGAACUGGGGCGGGCCACUGCCAGGAACGCAACGCCCCUGAAUGCUUAUGCCGGUGGUUGGAAGAGGAAAUGGAAUUCCCCGGAUUGGGUUUCACCAUAUUGCCCAGGCUUGUCUUGAACUCCUGGGAUCAAGCAACCUGCCCGCCUCGGCUUCCCAAAGUGCCAUGAUUACAGUGUGAGCUACCGCACCCGGCCUCAUACGAUUUUGAAUAAGGCAUUUGCUUUAUGCUUUACAAGGUACUAGUAGUAAAAACUGUUUAGAGUGAUGUACAUAAAGAACAGUUCAGACACAAAUGUAAGACCUGAAGCUAUAAAACUACUAGAAGAAAACAGGAAAACCACUUCAGGACAUUGGGUCUAGGCAAAGAUUUUAUGGCUAAGACCUCAAAAGCACAAACAGCAAAGACAAAAAUAGCCAAAUUGGACUAUAUUAAACUAAAAAGCUCAGCAAAGGAAACAGCAGAGUGAAGAGAUAACCUGUUGUAUGGAAGAAAAUAUUUACAAACUAUUAAUCCAACAAGGGACUAAUGUCGAGAGUAUACAAGGAACUUAAAAGUAAAAAAAAAAUAACCCCAUUAAAAGUGGGCAAGGGAUGUGAAUAGACAUUUCUCAGAAGAAGACACAAAUGCCCAAUAAGUAUAUGAAAAAUGCGUAAUAUCACUAAUCAUCAGAAAGAUGCAAAUGAAAACCACAGUAAGGUAUCACCUAUGACAGAGUGGUUAUUAUGAAAAUAACAGAUGCUGGUAAGGAUGCAGAAGAAAUUCUUUUAUACUGUCAGUGGGAUUGUAAAUUAAUACAGCCUCUAUGGAAACACAGUAUUUCUCAAAAAACUAAAAGAACUGCCAUAUGAUCUGUCAAUCCCACUAAUGGGUAUUUAUUCAAAGGAAAAGAAAUCAGUUCAAUGCAGCACUAUUCACAGUGGCAAAGAACAGAAUCAACUUACGUGUCCGUCAACAGAUGAAUGGAUAAAGAAAAUGUGUUACCUAUGCACAAUGAAUACUAUCGGCCACAAAAAAGAAUGAAAUCAUUUCCUCUGCGGAAACAUGGAAGCACCUCUUGACUUGCUACUGGUACCUGGAAGAGAUGUAACACCUGACCAUGGGACAUCAAGUGACUGUGUGAAUCAAACUGCCCAUCAUGAAUUGUUGUUAUUUGACUCAUCAAACUGUACAACUGGAUGAACACAGGAGCAGUGCACUACAUAUGGGACUGGAACCAUGAAUGAGCAGGUGACUCAGACUCCUAUAGUACCUGCCUCUACUCCUUCAGCACUUCUCCCUCAACCCACAUAAACUGUCAUCAUAAUGAGUUCCCUCUGACCAGUUAAUGGAAGAGAAAAAAGUAUGGAUGUUGUGGAUAUCCUAACAUAUUUCUGGCCAUUGGACCCCUAGAAACCUGUGGCAAGUCCUGGAAGUUUUUCAAGGUUCAUCUUGCACCUUCUAGCAUGCAUAUGUCGUACCAAAGCAUGUAGAAUGCUGCCUACUUCUGCUCUUCAGUUUCAUUUAAUAUAAUUUCAUUACUCUAAUAAAUCAGUGUGAUGUUCUAUGGAAUAACAAGACCAUCAAGGUCCCUUCAUACCAUAUAGAGAACAGGAGAGUUGAUGUAGCCUGAGACAAGACAGUAAGGACUUACUGUUAUCCCUCCUAUUUAAACGUAGUCUGUUUCUGAUUCUCCUUAGAAUGGGGGUGGGGGGACAUUUCCAGAUCAAUAUCAAAUCAGUAUCAUGUCAACAUGGGUAUUAAUUUCUUCCAAAGAAGAUACCACACCUAGAACAGCAACCAUAAUUGGCAUCCCUACCUAAUUAAAGUUUGCAGUCCACUGUCAUUCUUCA